rnacentral:rRNA from 1 species
AUUGAACGCUGGCGGCAUGCUUUACACAUGCAAGUCGAACGGUAACAGGCCUUCGGGUGCUGACGAGUGGCGAACGGGUGAGUAAUGCAUCGGAACGUGCCCAAUCGGUGGGGGAUAACGUAGCGAAAGUUACGCUAAUACCGCAUAAGCCCUGAGGGGGAAAGCAGGGGAUCGCAAGACCUUGCGCGAAUGGAGCGGCCGAUGUCAGAUUAGCUAGUUGGUGGGGUAAAGGCCUACCAAGGCGACGAUCUGUAGCGGGUCUGAGAGGAUGAUCCGCCACACUGGGACUGAGACACGGCCCAGACUCCUACGGAGGCAGCAGUGGGGAAUUUUGGACAAUGGGCGCAAGCCUGAUCCAGCCAUGCCGCGUGCGGGACGAAGGCCUUC